AGGACAGGUGGUGCAUGGUUGUCGUCAGCUCGUGUCGUGAGAUGUGGGUUAAGUCCCGCAACGAGCGCAACCCUACUUGCUAGUUACCAUCAUUAAGUUGGGGACUCUAGCGAGACUGCCAGUGAUAAACUGGAGGAAGGUGGGGAUGACGUCAAAUCAUCAUGCCCCUUAUGACCUGGGCUACAAACGUGAUACAAUGGCUGGAACAAAGGGAUGCGAAGCAGUGAUGUGGAGCGAAACCCAUAAAAACAGUCUCAGUUCGGAUUGAAGUCUGCAACUCGACUUCAUGAAGUCGGAAUCGCUAGUAAUCGCGGAUCAGAACGCCGCGGUGAAUACGUUCUCGGGGUUU
rnacentral:rRNA from 1 species